rnacentral:rRNA from 1 species
UACGGAGGGUGCAAGCGUUAUCCGGAUUCACUGGGCUUAAAGGGUGCGUAGGCGGUCAGGCAAGUCAGUGGUGAAAUCUCUGGGCUUAACCCAGAAACUGCCGUUGAUACUAUUUGUCUUGAAUAUCCUGGAGGUAGGCGGAAUAUGUCAUGUAGCGGUGAAAUGCUUAGAUAUGACAUAGAACACCGAUAGCGAAGGCAGCUUACUACAGGAUGAUUGACGCUGAGGCACGAAAGCGUGGGGAUCAAACAGG